GUAAUCCUCCUGCCUCAGCCUCCUGAGUGCUGGGAUUACAGGAACUGAAUCAAGCAAUGACAGGGCUGGAAAGUCUGAAAUCUGCACGGAGGUGAGUGGCUGGAGGUUUCAGGGAGGGUUGUCUUAGUUACUUGUUGCUGAGACACAAUACCCAGCCCCCAAAGUUAAAGGGGAGAAGAUUGAUUUGACUCAUAGUCUGGUGAGGUUUCAGUUCACAAUUGGCUGGCUGACCAAGCAGAGUGGCACAGGAGAAACAGUCCAUGGCAGGCAAAAGACAGUGAAAGCAAGCAAGCAAGGGAUCUUAACAGCGUCUCCCUGCCCCUUUAUCUUCUCCAGGCUACUUAGCGUGGGCAGUGCUCACACCCUCAUCCCAGUACCCUUGAGCCUAGAUCUGAAAAGCCCACCGGUGACUGCAUGAGGCUUUGGGGGACAGCUAGACACAAGACAUAACAGGUGCUGACACUGCGGCCUGUCCGAAGGCUGAGGCAGGCAGGUCUCAUGUCUCUCGAGGGGCCUCAGCCUUUCUCUUACACUUGAAAAAUAUUUUCACCACCACGUCUGCACCAGUGUUUGACCACACAGCUGGUCACCAAUGGCCCAGCCAAGUCAGCGCAUAAACUUCCCCAUCAAAUCAAUCGCCAUUAAAUCAAGUUUGCCAAGUGCAGGACCGCUGAGGAGUGAGCAGGGCCAGGAGCAGCUUGGGGGAGAGGGAGGAGGGAGCAGAGCAGGAGGAGGGUGUGUCAGUCAUGUUUGCUGGAUCUUGUGCCGGGGAUCGAACUCAGGACCUUGCGCUUGCGAGGCAGGCGGUGGCACCACUGAGCCAAACCCCCAGCCCCAGUCAUGUUUACUAGAGAAACAGACAUAGCACAAGGUUUACAGAUAAAUAAGAAUUCACCAGAUUGGCUCCAGUGGCCGCCCUCAGGGUUAGAUGAGGAAGAGGGCAGAGUGUCUGUCUGCACCCUGGAGACCAGAGGAUGCAGUCGAAGGCCUGGAGCUCACUGCAGUGUCCUGUGCGCGUCCACAUCCCCCCGAGGUGUACACCGGAAGCCAAAGUCUGCGCUGGAAGCCAGGAGCUGGCGUCCCAGGCGUUCUGUCACAGCCACGGAAGCAGACUGCGGCGCAGGUCAGGCGCCUUCCCGCUCCAGUGCGAUGUCCGGCUCCCCACCAGGCCCAGUGACUUCCUCACAGCUCUUCCGCCUUCUCCAGCCGGAGGUGCCCCUGGCGGCCUGGGGGGUUAGCAGUAAGGCACAGAUGCUGGUGUGCUGGCCGCCCUGGACAGCUUGUUUGGCUGCUGUCCUGAGUGACCCAGGAGCCAGAGGGACAAUCUCCCGACGUCCAAAUCUGCAGAGACGAGGCCGUGGCUCUCACAGUGUGCAGAGGAGACGCUGAGUUUCUGCCUUGCUUCCCGCUGUGCUCCUAGAGGCCGCUCAGCACCUUCACAGCCACAUUUCCUUUCCACCUGCAAGGGGGCUCCGGGCCGGCCGCGGGGGGCUCACCCAGGGCACAGCCGGCUCCCUGCUGGGGCCCUGAGGGUUAUUUGCCUCUGCUGCCCCCGGCCCAGGUGAGCCCCGACCUCAGGCACAGGUGUAGGCGGGUGCCGGGGAGGAGCGCCCCCUUCUGGAAACUUCUCUUCGCGCACCCCCAGAGGAGAAAUCCCGGCUCCUCUGAGACCCUGUUCGCCAUCCCUGGGUGAGUAACUCUCCCUGCCGAGCUGGGCUCUUGACGUCCUCCCAGGAGGGGACAGCUCGGCCCGCGCUCCCUAGCCGGCGCGCCUGUCUCUACCCUGUCUGUGGUGAGGCUGCCUGCGAGGUGGUGGGAGCCCCGUUAACAGCUGCAUCAAGAAAAUGAUAUUACUGUCAUCAUUACUUUGUGACUCCGGGGAUGGGACACAGGGCCUUGUGUGUCGAGCACACUCAGGCAUCUGUUAUUAAUAACUUUCAUCAGAGUAAAUAAAGUGAAAGUCUGCUACAGAAGAGAGACUCAGCUAAGUGUCCCGUAGGCCAGCGGGGGACCCUCCGGCACGGGGGCCACAUCCACCUGUUACCUCUGAAACUCUACCAGCUUCGCCGCCCCUGCCGGGGACAGAUUAACUUCUUCAAGACAGUGUUUUAGUCCGCGUUGGCGGCACCCGAGGGUCGCUGGUGCAUCGCACUACACAGCUUCGUUCCUUUUCUGUCCCCUCCGUCCUCUCCCUCCAUCUCGUCCCCUGUGCAGCAGCCCCGUCCCUCUGACGCUCCUCCGCCCGCCCCGUGCCCCUUCCUAGAAGCCAAGAGCAGCCCACGUGCUUUCCCCAUGUCCACGCCCGCCCCGGGUCCAGGAUCUGGGGGUCCCGCGGGGGUUACUGCCGGAAACAUCUGUCAUUUCUGUAACCAGAUGUUCCUCUUCUGAUGUGGCACUUUCUAAAAUCAUGCUGAAGGGAGAGGAAAAAUGAACAAAUCUAACCCAACCAGACUAAACCAAUGCUUGGGUGCCCCGCUUCUGCUGUGAGGACCUAGGAGCUACCUACGGUCUUCAGGGCCACCGAUACCUGCAUCCCCAGGCUGCCGUGCGGCUCAGACGAGCAAACGUCCACCAAAUCGUCUGACCGGUAGAAGUGGCUGGGGAAGGCGCUCUGAUUAUCAUUCCGGUCUCCUCUGAUACUGCAGCUCGUGUACUUUUAGGAAGGUUUGUUUUAUGUUGCGCAGAAAUGGGCUUCCUUGUGACUUUUAUCCCCAAUGGGCCCAGUCUUCGUUUUCGGAGAGGAAGAGAGUCGGUGUUAGUCCCAGAGCGUUCCCCUCCGCCAUCCGGGUACCGCACUGUUUGCACACCCGGGACCAUUGUAGCUGGUUAUUUCCAGAAGGGAAGAGAAUAUUCUACACAGCUGUGUUGCUGGCUUUUCAAGAUUCUCAAUGGCAGAGCCCUUUUCUGCUGCUUCUGUCUUUUCUAUUGGAUUUUUUUUUUUUAGACAGGGUCUCACUAUGUACUUCAGGGUGGUCUUGAGCUCACAGCGUAGUCCGAGCUAGUUUUGGACUCAGCAGUGAUCCUCCUGCCUCAGCCUCCUGAGCAUUAGGAUUAUAGGCGUGCACCACCACGCCUGGCUUCUUCGGGUGGAAUUUGAUCAGUGGCUGGUGCAGUCAUCUGUCUCUCUCAGAGGAAUAACACAUCAUCGGCAAGGGUGAUAACUGUUCCCAGAUGGGUGAGCCGACCCUGGGAGAGACUGACCAGUAUUUAUGAAUUUUGUCACCAGGUCAUUGAACGGUUCACAGCUUUGAAACCAGCCACGGAAGGGCUAUUUGUGCCGUGGAUCUGGCCAGUGCUGCAGACCAGGCAUUUGUUUUCUUUCCAGAGAGCUGGUUUACUGACACCCACUGCUUCGGGUGAGAAAAACUCACUGCCAUUUAUUCCUGGAGAAAAAUAACAAGAAACAAGUUGCCCUAGUCUUAGGCAAAGCCUGAGAUUCAACUACGCUUUGGUUCCUGGAAUAUCUGUUUUCUCAAGAAAGAAGAGAGGGUCCGGGAUUUGGCUCAGUGGUUCCGCCACCUGCCUUGCAAGCACAAGGUCCCGAGUUUGAUCCCUGGUACCAAACACAAACAAGAAAGAAGAAUAAGUGAUAAUAAUAAACAAUGAUAGAACUCUGGCUUAAGGGUGGGCACCUGGAAGUAAUCAUAAAGUUUGCAGGCCAUGCUCAGGUGUGAAUACGACCUGUCCUGCCCCUCUUACUCUUGGAAGUGGGGCUGGAAAUUUGGUCGAGAGAACAGAAAACUUAGACGCUCUUAGAGUCCGGCCACAGGUUCCCUGCCGUCCUGUAGCUGCCCAGGUGCCUUAGGGAGACGCAGCGGCACUCGAGCAGGUCUUGUGAAAAGAGCUUGCCGCCGGGGGAGACGACGCAAACCCUCACCCCAGCGCACGGUCCACACGGCCAGCCCCAGGGCCAGCGCAGGGUCUUGGGAGGAGACCGGAGAUGUGCGCUGCGGCGCCCGGCUCUUCCUGGCCAGAGAACAGUUCUCCGUGCAGAGCCCCCGAGCUAACGGCAGGCAGAACACGCAGUUCCUGUUUUCAGUCAGCCCUAACCGAGCCCCCCGAAUUGCCGUGGGCCACUUGGCUGAGGCUUUUUUGGAAAAUACUGGGUGCUGCACUAACCCACCAAAGCCACAGAACGUAGACCUGGCGGCAGUGUCUCCGUGUGGACGCCCGGCACCUGCAAGCCCAGCGGUGCGGGCGGAAACGACGCAGCCGCCCCUCC